rnacentral:rRNA from 1 species
UACGUAGGGUGCGAGCGUUGUCCGGAAUUAUUGGGCGUAAAGGGCUCGUAGGCGGUUUGUCGCGUCGGGAGUGAAAACUCAGGGCUUAACCCUGAGCCUGCUUCCGAUACGGGCAGACUAGAGGUAUGCAGGGGAGAACGGAAUUCCUGGUGUAGCGGUGAAAUGCGCAGAUAUCAGGAAGAACACCCGUGGCGAAGGCGGCCCACUGGGCCGGUGCUGACGCUGAGGCGCGAAGGCGUGGGGAGCGAACGGG